CAAGUAUCAAAGGUUCUGUUAACUGCAUGAACAUGGCCCAAGGUGGUGUCCCAGAUUGUGAAUGCUCAACCAGGAAAGAGUAACUUCCUGCAUGUUGGUUCAUCUGUUCUGAAAUAUGUAUGUUUUGUUCCUGACAUAUUUUCCUUGAUGAAAAUUGGUUUAUUUUUAUAUCUACUAUGUUGUGCAUUUCAGGAAUAUUUUCUUUAUCAGCAAACAGAAAAUAAUAUAAACCUAAUAUUAAGCUUUAUUUUUCUACUUGUAGCCUGAAGACUCCGAAUGGGAUGAGUUUGGGAAUGAUUUGUAUUCAAUCCCUGAAACGCUGCUAGUGCAGUCGAGAAAUCCGUAUCCUGACGCUCCUCCUGCUAAUAAAGUGAUGAGGACAGCAAAAUUAAGGCUUUAAUUGAUACUCCUGCGUUGGACUGACGGUGGUUUGGAUGGCUUUGGAAGGGGUAUGGCUGGAAGGAUGGGUGGGCGUGAUUUUGAUAUGGAGUCCGCUUGGUGUCCACAGCCAAAAAUUCUGUCUCCUAGCUACUACAACUGCUGUACUGAAGGGAGAACAGAAUCCUGUACGUAUCUUCUAAGGAAGAAAGCCCUAAUGUGAAGGACAAAGCUAAUGAGGUUAAAGUAGCUAUUCCCCCACAUUUGGCGUUGGAGAAAGUAAAGAUUGCUAAACUAGCUGAUGCAUCUGAGGCGGUCAGUCAGUGUGAAGGAGCCUACAUCACAAAGGAGUGCCCCCUUGCAGAGGAAGAAGUGCAAUAGAAGGUGGCUUCUGGAGAGGCAGGGAAGAAAAGGAAAAGGAAGAAGGUUCAUUUGACAGCUAAUGGUAGGUCCGCAGCCCCCUUUUUCCUGUUUGUUUGAUAGUGCAAACUACAUGUGAGUUUUAUGAAUCACGAGGAAUGUUCUCUAACCGGAAUCUUUUUGCUCUCUAAACUACAUCUCAAUGGGUCCCUCUGCCCCAUAAGCUUUACUGGACUGGUAUGCAUUCUGGGAUGGAUGGGUUUUUGUGUCCUUAUGCUGGUCCAAUGCCCUACAUGGGGGGUUAUAGACUACGUCCAUUAGACAUGCCAUUUGGAGGUGUCAGGCCUCCAGAUCCUGUGGGUCAGUGAUUGAUAUAAAAGGAGGAGGCAACUGCCCCCGUUGAACUGCUAAAAUUUUUUGAAUA